rnacentral:tRNA from 1 species
CGGGGUGUGGCGCAGCCUGGUAGCGCACUUGCUUUGGGAGCAAGGAGCCGGAGGUUCAAAUCCUCUCACCCCGA